rnacentral:rRNA from 1 species
UAAAUAGCCUGGCCGGCUUCCGCUGGUCAUCGGCUUCUUAGAGGGACUGUCGGCGUUUAGCCGACGGAAGUUUGAGGCAAUAACAGGUCUGUGAUUCCCUUAGAUGUUCUGGGCCGCACGCGCGCUACACUGACUGAGCCAGCGAGUUCAUCACCUUGGCCGAGAGGUCUG